rnacentral:pre_miRNA from 1 species
UCCGUUUCUACAAAAAACAAGAAGAAAACUUCUACAAAAAUAAUUCAAAUUUACGAAAUUAUUUUUGUAGAAGUUUUUUUUUUUUUUUCACAUUUUUUGAA